CGGGGAUGUGAACUUCAAGCCAGCAUAGUAGAAAUUCUGAUCAAUCACAGGUCCGAGAAGACCCAGAAUAAAAAUCUGCAUAAAUAGCGAGAAUGUAAUCUUGGGUCGCCCUUUCCGCUCUAAGAGGAGGGCGAAGGGGGCGAUGGAGAGGGUGGCGAAGGCGUGGCGGUAGACGACCAGGACAUAGUGGCUCAUCCCAUGAUUGAG
rnacentral:misc_RNA from 1 species